CCCUUAGAUGUUCUGGGCAGCACGCGCGCUACAAUGGUCUUCGCAAACGGAUGCAUUCUCGAAGGAGAAUGCCAAUCUUGGAAUCUAUGCCUUGGUCGGGACAGUUGCUUGCAAUUUUUCGACUCGAACCAGGAAUUCCUUGUAAUCGUGAUUCAUCACAUCACGAUGAAUACGUCCCUGCCCUUUGUACACACCGCCCGUCGCUCCUACCGAUCGAAGAGUUAGGUGAAUUGUUUUGAUCGAUAAGAUUUGACUAUGGUCAACUCUCGUUGUUAAAUUCUGUGAAUCUGACUGUUUAGAGGAAGGAAAAGUCGUAACA
rnacentral:rRNA from 1 species